rnacentral:rRNA from 1 species
GAUCAUGGCUCAGGAUGAACGCUGGCGGCGUGCCUAACACAUGCAAGUCGAACGGAACUACUUUGAUGAGAUUCUUCGGAAAGGAAUUGAUUAGUUAGUGGCGGACGGGUGAGUAACGCGUGGGUAACCUGCCUCAUACAGGGGGAUAACAGUUGGAAACGACUGUUAAUACCGCAUAAGCGCACGGCAUCGCAUGAUGCAGUGUGAAAAACUCCGGUGGUAUAAGAUGGACCCGCGUCUGAUUAGCUAGUUGGUGAGGUAACGGCUCACCAAGGCGACGAUCAGUAGCCGGCCUGAGAGGGUGAACGGCCACAUUGGGACUGAGACACGGCCCAAACUCCUACGGGAGGCAGCAGUGGGGAAUAUUGCACAAUGGGGGAAACCCUGAUGCAGCGACGCCGCGUGAGUGAAGAAGUAUUUCGGUAUGUAAAGCUCUAUCAGCAAGGAAGAAAAUGACGGUACUUGACUAAGAAGCCCCGGCUAACUACGNG